rnacentral:rRNA from 1 species
ACUCAAAGGAAUUGACGGGGGCCCGCACAAGCGGUGGAGCAUGUGGAUUAAUACGUCACUAACCGUAGAACCUUACCCAGGCUUGACAUCCCCGGAACCUUCCUGAAAGGGAGGGGUGCCCCGCAAGGGGAGCCGGGAGACAGGUGUUGCAUGGCUGUCGUCAGCUCGUGUCGUGAGAUGUUGGGUUAAGUCCCGCAACGAGCGCAACCCUCACCGUCUGUUGCCAGCGUCAAGUCGGGCACUCUGACGGAACUGCCCGGGUAACCGGGAGGAAGGUGGGGACGACGUCAAGUCAGCAUGGCCCGUACGCCUGGGGCUUCACACAUGCUACAAUGGCCGGUACAGAGGGUCCCGAGCCCGCGAGGGGGAGGCAAUCCCAAAAAGCCGGUCUCAGUUCGGAUCGCAGGCUGCAACUCGCCUGCGUGAAGUCGGAAUCGCUAGUAACCGCCGAUCAGCUAAGCGGCGGUGAAUCCGUUCCCGGGCCUUGCACACACCGCCCGU